CUAUGCGCCUUGCCAGCCCGCUCAGUCAGAGUUUGAUCCUGGCUCAGGAUGAACGCUAGCGGCAGGCCUAAUACAUGCAAGUCGAACGGGGUCCUUCGGGGCCCAGUGGCGCACGGGUGCGUAACGCGUAUGCAACCUACCUCCGACUGGGGGAUAGCCCCCCGAAAGGGGGAUUAAUACCGCAUAACACAACUUGAGGGCAUCCGAGGGUUGUUAAAGAUUUAUCGGUCGGAGAUGGGCAUGCGUGCCAUUAGCUUGUUGGCGGGUAACGCCACCAAGGCUACGAUGGCUAGGGGUUCUGAGAGGACGGUCCCCACACUGGCACUGAGAUACGGGCCAG
rnacentral:rRNA from 1 species